UUUUUUCUCACGGUUAGCACAUUUUGCUUUAGAUUAAGAAGUCCCUUUCUAUCCUGAAGUAAUAAAUGUAUUUUCUUACAUUCUGUUCUAAAAGGCUUAAUGUGUUACCUUUAAAUUUUUUUAUUUAACCCAUUAGAAAUUGAUUUCUCUGCAUAGUGUGAGAUACAAACCCAAUUUCUUUAUUUUCUCAUGAGAUGACUCUUUUCCUGGUACCAUUUGUAAUAUUUUUUCAUUUGUUCUUUCUUCUAUCAAAAUAUCUUUCCUCUGGUCAAGGGUCAGCAAACAUUUUUUAAGAACCAGAUAAUAAAUAUUUUUGGUAUUCCACUAUGGUUCUCUACCAUAAAUUAUUCUGUGUUUAUGUUUUACAACCCUUAGACAAAAAUUAAAAAACAGCAACAAAAACAUUAGCUCCCAGUCUACACAAAAGAAUGCCACAGGGUCAAUUUGGCCUUCUGAUCUAUGUAGUCAUAAAUUUUGAUAUCUCAUUUCCUCACUUUUUGCCUUUUUUAAGUCUUUGGCCAAAUGUUAUGUUUAAGAUUUUCAUCAGCGAUCUAUUUAUAGAUGUAUUGCUUCUCUCCCUAAUUGUUAUGUAUUGUUCCUCUCAAAUCUAUUUUUCACUGUGUAGCUUACCACCUUACUGUAUUAUACAUGGCUUUGGUUUUGUUUUGCUUUGCUUUUUUUUGUUCUCCCUCCAACCCCCACAUGCCCUGGAAUGCAAUCAACACACGAAUGGAGUUUUUGUCUGUUUUGUUCAUGACUGGCUCUGUGAUCUAAAUAAAUAUAAGGCAUAUAUUAUAUAUCCAUUAAGAGUUGUAUGGAUGAAUGAAUAAUUACACUUUAUAGUUUUGGAAGGCUUAUAAAUCUCCUGGAAAUUUUUCUUUUAAAGCACCACACUUCUAGAGCCAGGCACCACAGCUUGUUCCUAUAAUCCCACCUACUCAAGAGGCAGAGGCAGGAGGAUGACUUGCAGCCAGGAGUUCAAGACCAGCCUGAAAAACAUAGUGAGACUUCAUCUCUAAAAAGUUGAUGAAGAAUUGGGUGUGGGCAUAAGAGCAGUAGAGCAAGGAGCAUCUGGUGUCCUUUCAUCCAUACAAGCAUCUUUGCCAUCUCUGGACUGGUGACAGGACAGUGUGAUAUGUCAUAACUGGACUUUGGUAAUCCCAUGCUCACAUCCACAUUUGGGGUAUGUCACUCUCAGCAUUUACUUUCAGUUGUAAAUUGGUGAAUAACAUAAUGUGUUUAAUGUAACCACCAUCCUCUACUGGCCCAUCCGUUCUCUAAUUACCUAUCUGUCCCUUCCCCUGGGCAUGUGACUACCUCUAGAUCCCUUGCAGCAUACAGCAAGGAGAGAGCCAGCAGCAUACCACAGCUUCAUUUAUGGACAUUUCUCUAUGUUAUUGCCAUUUUAUAAGCACUCAUGAUACAUGUGGCCAGCCUCCAUCACAAUCUCUUUUCAGGUCCCCAAACCAAAAGAUGACUUUUGUUUAUCAUUCAUAGAUAGAUAGAUAGUGAGACAGACAGAUAGAUAGAUAGAUAGAUAGAUAGAUAGAUAGAUAGAUAGAUAGAUAGAUAGAUCAUAAAUCUUUCUUAAUUUCAGGUUUCUUCUCAGCCUAGAUAGCAUGCUUUCCCAUUCUGGGACCCACAGAGUAGAAAUCAGAGAAUGUAUUUAGAGCUUCUUGCUUCCCCCGUCUAGUGCAUUCUCACCUUAAAAUUCACAGAGGAGCAAGGAAAAGGCUCCCCUCUAUUCCCUGUAGAUGCUACUUCCUCUACAUCCUAUUCUGAGUUGUCUCUAGGGUUGAUUUUUUGUUACUGAAUGGUGAAAUUGAUUCAUUUUUGCUUUUAUCACUGACCAAUUAUGGAUUAAAUGUUCUCCAAAAUAGAAAUGUUACUUUUAAAUUCCAAAAUAUGAUUCUGUUAGAUGAAGUUUAAAAAAGUUUAGUAAAAGCUCACUAGAUUCCAAAAGUACAUUAUUCCCAAAAGCACUGUUGGAAAAGUAGAAGAAAGUAGGUAACAAUGUCAUUCUUUGUGUCCUUUGAAUGGGGUUUCCAGAUAAAUGAAAUAAAAAUUAUAGGAUCUUCUCAAUUAAAACAUAAAGAUUUUUCUCUCAAUUAUUUCUCAUGUUUUAAAAUGUUAAUUUGUAAACUAUUUCGAUUAUUUUCAAAGAUAAUUUGGCUCAUGAAACAGAAAAGGAUUCCUUGUUCUAACUUCCUAAUCUGGUUCUGCUAAUAUCUAUCUGUAUAAUAUUUUCCUCGUUUCCUUUCUUCUCCUUGAUUUAGUUUUUUCACCUUUAAUUAGAAGAGCUUGUAACUAAAUGGUUUAUAAGUUCCUUUAAAUCUUGAAAAUACUAUCAUUCAGCCAAUCACUUGAAUUCCCAUAGUAUGUUGAAUAAGAAAACUUUGAGAAGGUUUAUUAAAAAGAAAAGCAGGGUUUAAGCCAGGGUUAAAUGAAAGCAGAGAACCAUCCACCUUUCCAGCCUUGCCUUUCAUUGCCUUCUGAAUAGCUCUCUUCCUUUUCAAUCGUCCCCUCUGACCAGCCCAAACUUUUCAACAGCCUUGACCAGAGUUACCUAUUAUAUCUUUCAUUGGAUGCUCUCAUUUGCAUUUUCUAAAAUGGCCCCAAAAGAAUGUGUCAAAAAGUAUAUUUAAUAUUACACUAAAAUGCCUUAUCAGGCACAUUAGAAAAUUGAUACUAAUGGCACUUCUUCUCCAGAGAGCUGGAACGGUGUUAAUGAUCCAGCACUUGUCACCAUUUUGGCGAAGUCUAAAAUUGUUUCUAAAGGGCUUUUUUUAAAACAAAAUCUGUUCUUAGGAUUUUUCACAAGAUUCUGUAUUGCUUUUUAAUGUGUCGUAUUUUCUCUAUUUUGUAAAAUGUUCAUCAUGCAACAGUAUAUUAAAAAAGGAGAAUGGCUUGUCAGAAAGUUAAUUUGUCUUAAGUGCCAACACCUGAACUGAUUUUUUUUAAAAAAUUGAGUCAUAUCACAUAAUAAAUCCUGAAAAUAGCUGUUGAGUUAUAAUGUCAUACAAAGUCCCUGUGCCCUAAUAAGGUGUCUGCUUUGUGAAAUCAUACACUGGUGAAUUAGGAACCUAAUGUGGGAAGUGAAAAAAAAAAAAGUGGCCUUUUGCAGCUUGCAUUUGCUAUCAAUUAUGCUUGCAUAAAUCUGCUGGCAUUUUAGAAUAUGAUCCAUCAGGUCAGCACUUGUCAGGUGAGUAAACUGCUCCCAUAGUGCAAAUUAGACUUUCAGAAGCAAGUCUUCGCUUCCAGUCCAUUGGGGCAUUAUUUUGCACAUUGAAGUGGCAAUUUAUUAAAAUAGUACCCCUGUGGUCUGAAUGAAAGAAUAUGCCUCCUUAACUUCAUAGGCUAUUUUCUUGGACUGGAGGGAAUAUAUGAUAAAACUCUGCUCAUUCCAGCUUUUUCUACUGCAUAUAUCAAGUUAUCAUUAAAAAAAUAACAAUAAUUAUUGUCCAUAAAUUGUGACCAAUUAUGCAAACUCUUUGCCUGGUAAUUAUUUUAAGGUCCUUUAAAUUAUUUAGUGUACAGUUAAUUAGGAUAAUAAGUCAAUACUGAGUAAUUAACUUUUUAAAGAGAGGAUUCAGGAAAUCAAGAAAAAUUUGGAUUAAUGUUAGAUUACAGUGGCAUCAUUCUAAUUGAAUAAUACUAAAUCAUUUAUCAAUUUCAUUUUAAAUAUGAUGUACAUCGUCAUCAUUAAUACAUGUUAUUGAAAGAA
rnacentral:lncRNA from 10 species